UUGGGCGUAAAGGGAGCGCAGGCGGGCGAGUAAGUCUUUCUUAAAAGUGCGGGGCUCAACCCCGUGAGGGGAGAGAAACUACUCAUCUUGAGUGCAGGAGAGGAAAGCGGAAUUCCUAGUGUAGCGGUGAAAUGCGUAGAUAUUAGGAAGAACACCAGUGGCGAAGGCGGCUUUCUGGACUGUAACUGACGCUGAGGCUCGAAAGCCAGGGGAGCGAACGGGAUUAGAUACCCCGGUAGUCCUGGCCGUAAACGAUGAAUGCUAGGUGCAGGGGGUAUCGACCCCUCCUGUGCCGGAGUUAACGCAAUAAGCAUUCCGCCUGGGGAGUACGGUCGCAAGACUGAAACUCAAAGGAAUUGACGGGGGCCCGCACAAGCGGUGGAGUAUGUGGUUUAAUUCGACGCAACGCGAAGAACCUUACCAGGGCUUGACAUUGAGUGACAGACUUAGAGACAAGUCAUUCUCUUCGGAGACACGAAAACAGGUGGUGCAUGGCUGUCGUCAGCUCGUGUCGUGAG
rnacentral:rRNA from 1 species